UGAGGGAAAGCUGCAAAGUACUCUGAAGAGAGAGUUCAAUAGGACGUGAAGCCGUCCGCAGGGAAACGGCUGAGACCGCACGUUGGACCCACCGCGGAUUCAACCCGAGGGUAGCCCUUUGGGUGCACUUCCGCUAUGGUGGGCCGCGUGGGGAUCGGUUCUCGCUGCGCUUGAAGUCGCGGGGGAAGGUAGUGGGGAUGUUUCGGCAUCUCUGCGAUGUACCCUCGCGUUCGUUGGCCGCGGCGGGGACUGAGGAAUUUGCCCAUCCGUCGCCUAACGGGGACGACGGGGAUGCGGGUCGCCGUGGCAGUUCAACUGGACUGGGGCUGGUCUCUGGCCGGCCCCGUUCGACCGCCGUCGCGUGCUUUCCCGCAGUCCCGAUCCGAGGUGGUGUGAUCCCCCACGCCGAGGUCGGCACCUCAGCCGACCC
rnacentral:rRNA from 1 species